rnacentral:rRNA from 1 species
AACCUGCGGAGGGAUCAUUACACAAUAAAAUACGAAGGCCGUUCGCGGCUGGACUAUUUAUUACCCUUGUCUUUUGCGCACUUGUUGUUUCCUGGGCGGGUUCGCUCGCCACCAGGACCACAAUAUAAACCUUUUUUAUGCAGUUGCAAUCAGCGUCAGUAUAACAAAUGUAAAUCAUUUACAACUUUCAACAACGGAUCUCUUGGUUCUGGCAUCGAUGAAGAACGCAGCGAAAUGCGAUACGUAGUGUGAAUUGCAGAAUUCAGUGAAUCAUCGAAUCUUUGAACGCACAUUGCGCCCUUUGGUAUUCCAAAGGGCAUGCCUGUUCGAGCGUCAUUUGUACCCUCAAGCUUUGCUUGGUGUUGGGCGUUUUUGUCUUUGGCCCGCCAAAGACUCGCCUUAAAAUGAUUGGCAGCCGGCCUACUGGUUUCGCAGCGCAGCACAUUUUUGCGCUUGCAAUCAGCAAAAGAGGACGGCAAUCCAUCAAGACUCCUUCUCACGUUUGACCUCGGAUCAGGUAGGGAUACCCGCUGAACUUAAGCAUAUCAAUAA